rfam:Snodgrassella alvi strain wkB12 wkB12_scaf005, whole genome shotgun sequence.
GGCGGGUCUCCCCGCAUGGUUAUUUAGGGCAACGGGUCAGGUGCGGAAGCAAGCAGCCCAUCUUAAAGUGACUAGUGCCGGGGGUUGGGCUCGCCACC